rnacentral:rRNA from 1 species
CCUUUUUUUAAUACCUGGUUGAAAACUGCGAAUGGCUCAUUAAAUCAGUUAUCGUUUAUUUGAUAGUACCUUACUACAUGGAUACCUGUGGUAAUUCUAGAGCUAAUACAUGCUGAAAACCUCGACUUCGGAAGGGGUGUAUUUAUUAGAUAAAAAACCAAUGCCCUUCGGGGCUCCUUGGUGAAUCAUAAUAACUUAACGAAUCGCAUGGCCUUGCGCCGGCGAUGGUUCAUUCAAAUUUCUGCCCUAUCAACUUUCGAUGGUAGGAUAGUGGCCUACCAUGGUGGCAACGGGUAACGGGGAAUUAGGGUUCGAUUCCGGAGAGGGAGCCUGAGAAACGGCUACCACAUCCAAGGAAGGCAGCAGGCGCGCAAAUUACCCAAUCCCGACACGGGGAGGUAGUGACAAUAAAUACUGAUACGGGGCUCUUUUGGGUCUCGUAAUUGGAAUGAGUACAAUCUAAAUCCCUUAACGAGGAACAAUUGGAGGGCAAGUCUGGUGCCAGCAGCCGCGGUAAUUCCAGCUCCAAUAGCGUAUAUUAAAGUUGUUGCAGUUAAAAAGCUCGUAGUUGAACCUUGGGUCUGGCUGGCCGGUCCGCCUCACCGCGAGUACUGGUCCGGCUGGACCUUUCCUUCUGGGGAAUCUCAUGGCCUUCACUGGCUGUGGGGGGAACCAGGACUUUUACUGUGAAAAAAUUAGAGUGUUCAAAGCAGGCCUUUGCUCGAAUACAUUAGCAUGGAAUAAUAGAAUAGGACGUGCGGUUCUAUUUUGUUGGUUUCUAGGACCGCCGUAAUGAUUAAUAGGGAUAGUCGGGGGCGUCAGUAUUCAGCUGUCAGAGGUGAAAUUCUUGGAUUUGCUGAAGACUAACUACUGCGAAAGCAUUCGCCAAGGAUGUUUUCAUUAAUCAGGGAACGAAAGUUAGGGGAUCGAAGACGAUCAGAUACCGUCGUAAUCUUAACCAUAAACUAUGCCCAACUAGGGAUCGGAACGGUGUUUUCUAUUAUGAACCCGUUCCGGCACCUUACCAAAAAAUCAAAGUUUUUUGGGGUUCUGGGGGGGAGUAUGGGUCCCAAGGGCUGAAAAUUUAAAGAAAUUUGACCGGAAGGGGCACCACCCAGGGCGUGGGAACCCUGCGGGUUUAAUUUUGACUUCAACACGGGGGAAAACUCCCCCAGGGUCCCAAACAAAAAUAAAGGGAUUUGAACAAAAUUGGGAAAACCUCCUUUCCUUGAACUCUUUUGGGAAGGGGGGGGGGCAAAGGGCCGCUCUCUUAAUUUGGGGGGAGAGAGAAAUUUGCC